rnacentral:snRNA from 1 species
UUGCUCAGUUUUCUCUUCAUAAUGAAUAAAUCUUUCAGCUUUUACUAAAGAUUUCCAUGAAGAGGAACAAUUAUGAGUUUAUAACUGAAUUUCUUGAUGUCCUGCUUAGGCAGGGCU